rnacentral:lncRNA from 1 species
GAUCAGGAACAAUAUAAGGAUGCUCCUCCCACCACUUCUAGUCAACAUAGCUCUGGAGGUGCUAGACAGAAGAAUUAGUGUCCCCACAGAAAAGAAGAACGUAUGGAUUUUCCAGUCUAAUAGAAUUUUCAACCAGACAUAUAUUAUCUACAAAGAAAUUGCAUUUCCAAGGCUCCUUUGCAGGAAGCAACUCUGCCACAAGCUGUGACAAGCAGAGCCUCUUCUAAAGUGCCUUGAGGAUGGCCAUGGCCCCUGCUCCUGCCCACUGCCUCUCUGCAGAACUCCAACAUUGUGAAGCCCAGUCCCUGGCUGAGGUCAUCUGGUUCUGCAUCUCCUUCCUCUGUCCUCUCUGUCUCUCAACAGUGUUUCCCUCACAGAUGUUUUCCACAAAGAACUGCUGUGCUCUCACUCAACUUCACUGUUGAUGCUCCCACACUUUAUUUGCGCAUUGGACUUGCAAAAGUUCAAGAUUUAUAGGGUG